rnacentral:tRNA from 1 species
GGUUUUAUAUUCAUAAUUAAUGAUUUUAAAUUGCAAAUUUAAAGGUGUAUUUUUACUAAAACCU